rnacentral:rRNA from 1 species
CAGAGGUCUCAAGCGUUGUUCGGAUUCAUUGGGCGUAAAGGGUGUGUAGGUGGCGCGCUAAGUCGGGUGUGAAAUUUCGGAGCUUAACUCCGAAACUGCAUUCGAUACUGGCGUGCUUGAGGACUGGAGAGGAGACUGGAAUUUACGGUGUAGCAGUGAAAUGCGUAGAUAUCGUAAGGAAGACCAGUGGCGAAGGCGGGUCUCUGGACAGUUCCUGACACUGAGACACGAAGGCCAGGGGAGCAAACGGGAUUAGAUACCCCGGUAGUCCUGGCAGUAAACGGUGCACGUUUGGUGUGGGAGGAUUCGACCCCUUCUGCGCCGGAGCUAACGCGUUAAACGUGCCGCCUGGGGAGUACGGUCACAAGAUUA